GACGAACGCUGGCGGCGUGCUUAACACAUGCAAGUCGAACGAUGAAGCUGGAGCUUGCUCUGGCGGAUUAGUGGCGAACGGGUGAGUAACACGUGAGAAAUCUGCCCUUGACUCUGGGAUAACUGCGGGAAACUGUAGCUAAUACCGGAUACUUUCCCUGGUGGGCAUCCACUGGGGAAGAAAGAAUUUCGGUCAAGGAUGAUCUCGCGGCCUAUCAGCUUGUUGGCGAGGUAAUGGCUCACCAAGGCGACGACGGGUAGCCGGCCUGAGGGGGUGACCGGCCACACUGGGACUGAGACACGGCCCAGACUCCUACGGGAGGCAGCAGUGGGGAAUAUUGCACAAUGGGCGCAAGCCUGAUGCAGCAACGCCGCGUGAGGGUUGAAGGCCUUCGGGUUGUAAACCUCUUUUAGCAGGGAAGAAGCGAAAGUGACGGUACCUGCAGAAAAAGCACCGGCUAACUACGUGCCAGCCGCCGCGGUAA
rnacentral:rRNA from 1 species